rnacentral:lncRNA from 1 species
UAUAUUAUGAAGAAAAUGCCAUUAUUUUCCUGAUGUUGCAAAGAAAAGCUACAUAGCUUGCUCAAUAUGAUAUGCCUGCAAAUGAUGGAGGCAGAUAUGAAUCUAAAUAUUUUUGAUCCAGAGUCUGUGCUUUUGACUAUUGGACACUGAUCUAGAUGUCUAGAGUGCUGUGAUGUCUAGGGUGGAUCAAUGUGACAUGUGUGUGAGUAUGUGUGUGUUUGUGUACAGAUCAGAGGUAGAGGAAUGAGUAUCUUAGGAGACUGUGGAAAGAGUAUAGGUGUAAUCAGUAUAGUGGCCUGGGCUAUGGGACUGAACACUGAAUGACAAACGUUGAAUGACUCAGGGAGAGAAGAGUUUCAGGAAAUAGUCACCGACCUUCAGUGCUGAAGAAUGGUGAACUACUAGGUGGGCUGAAAAGUGUACCUUAGGCUUUUCAGCCUUGAGACUAUUGUUAUGGACAGACACUUUAAAUGGUAACAUACCACUUUUCAGCAACCAUAUAUGCUGCCACAGAUAAGUAAGAACAACUGUAUUGUAUCAUAUAAUUCUACUUUUCCAGGAAGGUAAGAUGACUCUGAAUAAACUAUGGUAGAAGGCUGUUAUUUCCUUCUGAGUCUUCAUUUUUUUCCAGUCUACUAAAAAUGUCAGCUACCAUAAUAUAAUCUAUGUCUGUAUUAAAACUUUUUAGAAGAUUAAUUUUAUAUAGCACAAUGUAUUCAUUUUUAUAUUUCAUUACUUAUAGUUGUCUUUUUCUGAGUAAAAUAUCUGCCAAGUAACACAUUAUUACAUAAAAUUAUAAUCUCUGUUCUCGGAACUAGGUAAUUUGCUUUCACAUAUAGGUCAAAGAAACUAUUUUGAUAGUAUUAGAAGUAAAAUAUAAUAGGUAUUAGUAUAUAUGGUUUUUAUUUUAAAAAAAUGACCUGCAAUAGAGUAUGGAAAAUAAGAAUUGAAUAGAGUGAGUUACUAACUAUCCUGGUAAAAUAAUAAUAGUUGCAAUUCUAACUGUCUCCAACAAUAUUUAUAAGGUCAAAAAAGGUAAUGGGAAUAGUGGAACGAUCUAAGGCAAGAGAGCAUAAAUGAAAAAAAACUGAGUCUCUUUUCCUUCAAGAAUUUAUAUGUGCCUUUUCAUCUUUGAAAAAGAAUGUAUAUUUAGUUCUUAAAAAAACUUUUAUUUAAAUUACAAUUAGUUAACAUACAGUGUAGUAUUAGUUUCAAGUGUGUAAUUUGGUGAUUCAACACUUACAUACAAAACCUGGUGCUCAUCACAAAUGCACUCCUUAAUCCUCAUUAUCUAUUUAACCUAUCUCCACACCUACCUCCUCUCUGGUUACCAUGAGUUUAUUCUCUAUAGUUAAGGGUCAUUUUCUUGGUUGGCCUCUCUCUUUCUUUUUUCCCCUUAUGAUUUUUGUUUUGUUUCUUAAGUUCCACGUAUGAAUAAAAUCACAUGGUAUUUGUCUUUCUCUGACUGACUUAUUUCACUUAGCAUAAUACUCUCUAGCUCUAUCCAUGUCAUUGCAAAUGGCAAGAGUUCAUUCUUUUUACGGCCGAGUAAUAUUCCAUCGUAUGUGUGUGUGUGUGUGUAUAUAUAUAUAUUUAUGUGUGUUGUGUGUGUAUAUACAUACACAUAUAUAUGAUAUUUAUAUAUUCCAGUGGUGUGUAUGUAUAUACACCCAUGCACCACAUCUUCUUUAUUCAUUCAUCAGUCAGUGGACACUUGGAUUGUUUCAUAAUUUGGCUAUUACAGAUAAUGCUGUUAAGAAACAUGGGGUGCAUGUAAACCUUUGAAUUCGUAUCAAAGUAUUCUUUGAAUUUGUAUCUUUGUAUUCUUUGGAUAAAUACCAAGUAGUACAAUUGAUGGAUUGUAGGGUAAUUCUAUUUUUAUGUUUUUGAGGAACUUCUGUACUGUUUUCCAGAGUGGCUGCACCAGUUUUCAUUCCCACCAACAACUGCACCAAAAACCACAAGAUACUGAGAAAUAAACCUAACCAAAGUAGUAAAAGACCUGUACUUUGAAAACUAUAAAACUAGAUGAAAGAAAUUGAAGAUGACACAAAGAAAGGGGAAAACACUCCAUGCUCAUGGAUUGGAAGAACAAACAUUGUUAAAAUAUCUGUAUUACGCAAAGUAAUCUACAUAUUUGAUGCAAUCCUUAUUAAACUGCCAUCACCAUUUUUCACAGAGCUACAACAAACAAUCCUAAAAUAAUAUGAAUCCAUAAAAGUCUCUAAAUAGCCAAAGCAAUCCUGAAAAAGGUAAACAAAACUGGAGGCAUCAUGAUUCAAGACUUCAAGCUAUAUUGGAAAGCUGUAGGCAUCAAGACAAUAUGGCAUUGGCAAAAAAACAGACACAUAGAUCAAUGGAACAGAACAGAGAACCCAAAAAUGGACCCACAACUAUAUGAUCAACUAAUAUUUGACAAAGCAGGAAAGAAUAUCCAAUGGAAAGAAGAUAGUCUCUUCAACAAGAGUUGGGUAAUUGGACAGCCACAUGCAGAAGAAUGAAACUGGACUACUUUCUGACACCAUACAGAAAAAUAAAUUCAGAAGGGGUGAAAGACCUAAAUGUGAGACAGGAAACUAUCAAAAUCUUAGAGGAACUUAGGCAGCAACCUCUUUGACAUUGGCUACAGAACUUCUUACUAGACAUACAUGCCUCCUGAGACAAGAGAAACAAAAGAAAAAA